rnacentral:rRNA from 1 species
CCCCCAAAAACGAAAGUGUGACGGGAGUUACCCAAAGUGUUCACCUUUGAACUGUGGUAGGUGAGUAAUUUCCCCUUCUAGAAAGGAGAGGGCAAGGCUGGUGCCAGCCGCCGCGGUAAAACCAGCUCUUCAAGUGGUCGGGAUAAUUAUUGGGCUUAAAGUGUCCGUAGCCGGUUUAGUAAGUUCCUGGUAAAAUCGGGUAGCUUAACUAUCUGCAUGCUAGGAAUACUGCUAUACUAGAGGGCGGGAGAGGUCUGAGGUACUACAGGGGUAGGGGUGAAAUCUUAUAAUCCUUGUAGGACCACCAGUGGCGAAGGCGUCAGACUGGAACGCGCCUGACGGUGAGGGACGAAAGCCAGGGGAGCGAACCGGAUUAGAUACCCGGGUAGUCCUGGCCGUAAACGAUGCAUACUAGGUGAUGGUACGGCCGUGAGCCGUGUCAGUGCCGUAGGGAAACCGUUAAGUGUGCCGCCUGGGAAGUACGGUCGCAAGGCUAAAACUUAAAGGAAUUGGCGGGGGA